rnacentral:rRNA from 1 species
GGGUAGUUAAGUCAGAAGUGAAAUCCAAUAGCUCAACUAUUGAACUGCCUUUGAAACUGAUUACCUAGAAUAUGGGAGAGGUAGAUGGAAUUUCUGGUGUAGGGGUAAAAUCCGUAGAGAUCAGAAGGAAUACCGAUUGCGAAGGCGAUCUACUGGAACAUUAUUGACGCUGAGACGCGAAAGCGUGGGGAGCAAACAGGAUUAGAUACCCUGGUAGUCCACGCCCUAAACGAUGUACACUAGUUGUUGUGAGGCUCGACCUUGCAGUAAUGCAGUUAACACAUUAAGUGUACCGCCUGGGAAGUACGGUCGCAAGAUUAAAACUCAAAGGAAUAGACGGGGACCCGCACAAGCGGUGGAGCAUGUGGUUUAAUUCGACGAUACACGAAGAACCUUACCUGGACUUGACAUAGUAAGAACUUUCUAGAGAUAGAUUGGUGUCUGCUUGCAGAAACUUAUAUACAGGUGCUGCACGGCUGUCGUCAGCUCGUGUCGUGAGAUGUUGGGUUAAGUCCCGCAACGAGCGCAACCCUCGUCAUUAGUUGCUAACAGUUCGGCUGAGAACUCUAAUGAGACUGCCUACGCAAGUAGGAGGAAGGUGAGGACGACGUCAAGUCAUCAUGGCCCUUACGUCCAGGGCCACACACGUGCUACAAUGGGGUAUACAAAGAGCCGCAAUACGGUGACGUGGAGCAAAUCUCAAAAAUAUCUCCCAGUUCGGAUUGUAGUCUGCAACUCGACUACAUGAAGUUGGAAU